rnacentral:rRNA from 1 species
GACGAACGCUGGCGGCGUGCCUAAUACAUGCAAGUCGAACGCAGUGGGGACGGGUGAGUACCACGUGGGUAACCUCCCAUCAGAGGGGAUAACACUUGGAAACAGGUGCUAAACCGAUACUGAUGGAUGGACCCGCGGAGCAUUAGCUAGUUGGUGGGGUAACGGCUCACCAAGGCCACGAUGCAUAGCGGGCCUGAGAGGAUGAGCGGCCACACUGGAACUGAGACACGGCCCAGACUCCUACGGGAGGCAGCAGUGGGGAAUCUUCGACAAUGGGCGAAAGCCUGAUCGAGCAAUGCCGCGUGUGUGAAGAAGGUUUUCGGAUCGUAAAACUCUGUUGUUAGGGAGGCGGUAUCUGCCCAGAAAGCCACGGCUAACUACGUGCCAGCAGCCGCGGUAAUAC